rnacentral:rRNA from 1 species
UACGGAGGGUGCAAGCGUUAUCCGGAUUCACUGGGUUUAAAGGGCGCGCAGGCGGUUCUGUUUGUCGAGUGUGAAAGCCCCGGGCUCAACCUGGGAACUGCGCUCGAAACGGCGGAACUAGAGUUCGGGAGAGGAGAGUGGAAUUCCCAGUGUAGAGGUGAAAUUCGUAGAUAUUGGGAAGAACACCGGUGGCGAAGGCGGCUCUCUGGACCGAUACUGACGCUGAGGCGCGAAAGCGUGGGGAGCAAACAGG